GCGCGGAAACCAUCUCUCUUUAAUUUGCAGGUACUGAUAGCCUAUGAAGGCUUUAAUGGAACUAGGAAUGCAAUAAAAAUGAGUGGAUGAGGCACAAAAUUAAAUGUUGGCAUCUGGAAGCUUUAAACAGAGCGUCGGUAUAUCAACCAUAUUGGAGGUAGUGGCUUUUCAAAGUACCUGGCUAUUUCAGGACUAUAGAGCAGUAAAAUGUUUGCAAAAUUGAAGAAGAAGAUAGCAGAAGAGGCAGCUAUUGCUCCCAGACCGGGAGGAGCUGCCAGGAUACCCAGGUCUGUCAGCAAGGAGUCAAUUACGUCCGUGGGAGCCGACUCUGGGGAUGACUUUGCUUCUGAUGGAAGCAGCUCUAGAGAGGAUCUUUCAUCCCAGUUGUUCAGAAGAAAUGAACAAAUAAGAAAACUGGAGGUCAAGCUCUCUGAUUAUGCUGAUCAGAUCCGAAACUUGCAGAAGAUAAAAGAGAAGCUUGAAAAUGCAUUAGAAAAGCAUCAGGAUUCCUCCAUGAGGAAGUUUCAGGAGCAGAAUGAAGCUCACCAGGCCAGUCGAGCCAAGAUGGCUGAAGGAAUGGCUUUGGCCUUAGAAAAAAAGGACCAGGAGUGGAUGGAAAAACUGGGUCAAGUUGAAAAGGAAAAAAAAAUGCUUGAAACACAGUUACAAGAGAUGAGGGAGCAGCGUUUGAACCUUUUUCAAAAAAGAGAUGAAAUUGAUGAACUGGAGGGCUUUCAGCAGCAGGAGAUUGCCAAAGUUAAACACAUGCUUUUGAAAAAGGAAGAAUCUCUGAGCAAAACAGAGCAGGAACUAGAGGCGUGCACUCGAGAACUAACCCACGCUAAAGAGGUCCUUCAGGAUGCAAGCAGCGAGUCAUCAGGCCUAAGGAAAGAUCUUCAGGAGCUGCAGCAGCAGUUCUUGGAGCUGGAGGCGCAGAGAGAUGAACUAAUGACAGCUGUGACAAAUGCAGAAAAUAAGAUCACUGCUCUGAAGUUAAGAGAACAGGAGCUACAAACUGUCAUUCAGCAGCUUUCUCUAGACUUGCAAAAUGCUCGAGUUGCUGGUUCUGGUUGUGAGAAGAGGCUGGAAAUGUUACAGGUGGAGCAUGAAUCUCUGAAGGUGGAAUAUGAACAACACAAGCAAAAGAUGACUUUGGAAUUUGCUGAGAGAAAUAAACUUAUUGAACAGCUGCAGGAAAAAGUGUCUUCCUUGGAAAAAAAGCUAGAAAGAAAUCUUUCAGGGGAUGAACAUGUGCAGGAGCUACUUAAGGAGAAAGCCACUCUUGAGCAGAAACUGGAUGAAACCAGGCAGCAGCUGCUAACAGACAGAACGCAUCACACUGAGACUGCGAACCACUUGGAAACACAGAAUAAAGAACUGGAACAAAAACUACAGAUUGCAACAGAAGCAUUGAAAAAGAGCAAAGAAGUAGCUGCUGAUCAGGAUCUGGAGAUCCAGAAGUUGCAAACUGAUUUAGAGGAUGAAAGAAGUAAACUACAGCAACAGAUUUUAAGUGAGAAACAUCAGUGCGAUCAGAAAAUUACUGGGCUGGAGUCUCAAAUUGCUGCUCUUCAAACAGCUUGGGAAUUUGAUAAAGCAGCUACUCAGCACAAGAUCAGCCAGCUGGAAAAGGAAAAUGAAAAUCUUAAUGGAAGCAGAGAAGAGUAUGAGAGUUCUUUAAAAAAACAAGAGUCUGAAUUGAACAGGCUAAAGAAUGAAUUGAGCAGCAGAGAGACUGUCAGCGUUGAAAUUGCCAAAGCGUUAGAAGAAACACGAAAACAAAGAGAGGAAUUACAGCAGCAGGUUUCACAUCUGGCUUCCUUAAUAAAGGAAAAAGACCAGCUGAUUCAUGAAAAAUGUGAUAUGCUUCUAAAACAGAAGGAAGAACUAAACCAACUCAGUCAAGAUCAUGAGGCUGUCUUGCUGCAAAUGCAUCAGUUGCAGUCUGACAUCGAAGCAAAUAAUAUCCGAGCAGUGGAGAAAGAAGAAACGGCAAGGAAGGAAAUUGAUGAACUGAAGUUGCAGAUACAGUCGUGUCUGUUGGCCAGUGAACAUGAGAAAAAUGUUUCAGAACUAGAGGAAUCGACGAGAGCCUUGAACAGCAAGCAUUUACAUUCUCCAGAAAACCGUGUGGUGGAACAGAAUGGAGAGGUCGCAGCUGCAGACGUCAUUCAACUUCAGAAGGAUAACAGAGAGCUGGAGCAGCAAAUUGCUGAGAAAAACAAGAUGAUAAAGCAGCUUCAGCAAAGAAUGACAGAACUCAAGAAAACCCUCCAGAAAGAGUUGAAAAUAAGGCCUGACAGUGAGGUACCUGAAUUACGUGAAAAAGCAAAUUCUGAAGUGCCUAAUGCUUCUGUGACUGUCACAAACAACUCUGAUUUAAAUGACUCAAGGGAGAUAAACUUUGAAUACCUUAAACACGUUGUACUAAAAUUCAUGUCCUGCCGGGAAUCUGAGGCAUUCCAUCUAAUUAAAGCUGUAUCCGUGUUACUGAAUUUCUCACAAGAGGAAGAAAACAUGCUUAAAGAAACUUUGGAGUACAAGAUGUCGUGGUUUGGGUCAAAGCCAUCUCCUAAAGGCAGUAUCCGGCCGUCUAUCUCGAGCCCAAGGACACUGUGGCCUUAAAGGAACCUGAAAACGGGCAGUCAGCACCUAGCCGCUUUUUUCUGUGAAAAGAACGCUGAACACACUAAUUCAGGGGCCGAGCGACCUCGGUGGUGGCAGUCGAGAUGUAGUGUUAGAGUUACAGCACGUGAGCUGCUCCCUGCUUCCGUGCACACUCGUGCUGUGCUGAAGAUAACAGUAUCCUUCCACGUGAGGUCAGUUAUCGGGGCGGUAAAUGUGCUGCAAAUCCGUAAACCCUGGCUGACCUCCCCCCUUCUGUUGAUGGGCCGUAUCCCAGGCACAGGUACUCGCGGUAGCCAGUGCUGUGGCACAAGUGACACUCCUCAGUUUAAAGCUAGGUUGUAUUUAUUUAAAGCUAAGAAAACCAACAGGGUUUUUUUUUAGUAGACUAAAGCUUGUCCAAACACAGCCUUUAGUAACCUGAUCCGUGGCACUUAGCGACAGCAUAGGGAAGUUUAUGGGAGGAGUACAGCUCUGCUCUAAUACGAAAAUAGACAAUCAAAAAGUGGGUGCAUAUCAAUUGCUCCUGGACUGAAAGAAGCAGGGGCAGGAUAACCCUGGCAGUUCUGGGAAGAUUUUAUUCUCCAAGGUCUCUUUCUGUAGAACAUCCCUUUCCCCUGGCCUGUUUCUGUGGGACCCGAGAGCAGGGGACAGGAUCCCCUCUACUCAGGCUGAUGCCUGCUGAGCGACUAAUCGGUUUAUGCUGAUCCUGGCUUGAAAGGUUACUGCUGAACAGUGAGAAAAGCAGCGCAGGCAGCCUAGAAUAGAGGGUGGCAACCCAGAAUCUUAAGAUUCACUAACACAACUUCAAUUUAAGAUCCCAAAGCUCACGCAGGACCAGCUUACCCUAAGAACGCCUUCUUAAGUGUUGAAUUUUCUUUCGAUAUCGGAGCAAGAAUCGUGUGUAUACAUGUAUUUAAAAGCUAAUGCACUUUCCCUUGUAUAAAAACAGUGGUAUACAUAAUCCUUUCUAUGGCCAUUGGAUUUCCUUCCUUCUAUGCUGUAAAUACGGAUUGUAUUAUGAAACACUAUGAAAUUUGUGGUGCAAUACAUUUUGGAUCAAAACCCUAAUCUUGAUUUCUUUCUCCUUAUCGUUUUCGUUAUCUCCCCUGGGAUACUAUAGCUAUUUAAAAUUGAGGGAAUGUUAAAGCAUCAAACAAAACCCAC